ACUCCUACGGGAGGCAGCAGUAGGGAAUCUUCCACAAUGGGCGCAAGCCUGAUGGAGCAACACCGCGUGAGUGAAGAAGGGUUUCGGCUCGUAAAGCUCUGUUGUUAAAGAAGAACACGUAUGAGAGUAACUGUUCAUACGUUGACGGUAUUUAACCAGAAAGUCACGGCUAACUACGUGCCAGCAGCCGCGGUAAUACGUAGGUGGCAAGCGUUAUCCGGAUUUAUUGGGCGUAAAGAGAGUGCAGGCGGUUUUCUAAGUCUGAUGUGAAAGCCUUCGGCUUAACCGGAGAAGUGCAUCGGAAACUGGAUAACUUGAGUGCAGAAGAGGUAGUGGAACUCCAUGUGUAGCGGUGGAAUGCGUAGAUAUAUGGAAGAACACCAGUGGCGAAGGCGGCUACCUGGUCUGCAACUGACGCUGAGACUCGAAAGCAUGGGUAGCGAACAGGAUUA
rnacentral:rRNA from 1 species